CUUCGCCCUCACUCUGAGUGGAGUCUGGCCCAAGGGCAGUGUCUUCAGCUCUGAGCUCUGUGCUUUUCUUCAUUUGUAUUGUAACAAACCUUUCAAUUGUUGGGUGUUGAACGUUUUCUCAACAGUAAGUUGAUACUUUCAGUUACUGUCAUCCUCCAGUCCCCAUAAACCUAUUUCAUACCAUUUAAUGGUAACUUCUCCUGUGUUUGGUUUUCUCCACAGCCCUGAGUGCCACCUCUUUUGCCGAGGAUGCCUCUGUAGAGGCACCCAGCAGCCCUUUGUGUGAUCCGAGGGUGAAGAUGAACAGCCUGGAGAGCAGCCAAGAGUCCUGCUGGACACAGGAAGGCAGCGAACAGGGAUUUGAAGACCUCAAACAAAAUUCUCUCAGAUUGGACUCUCCUGCCUCCAUCUUGGCCAAAUUGCUAGAGAAAUACAUUCAAGAAAAAUGGAGAGAGAAUACAACCUGUGAACCAUCUACAGGAAGGUCUGCGAGGUCCCGAGUUGCAUGGAACACGCCGAAUCAGCCCGUGCCCCAGCAACAAUCCACUGGACCCACCCCACUCCUCUGUACAGCCACCUGAUUCCGCACUACAAAGAUGCAGAGGACAGUGGACCACCAGAACAUGGUCCUGAGUCCUGAUGCUCCCGGCCCAGAGGUAGGGGGUUCUGAGCCGCCAUCCCACUGCUCCUGGUCCAGAGGAAGGGGCUUCCUGGCCACCAUCCCUCCUGCUGCUUCCAGCCUACAGGAAAGGGCUUUUGGGCCACCAUCCCUACUGCUGCUCCUGGCCCCUGUCCCACCUCUCCCAGCUCAGAGGAGGUAAUCCUUGCAGGCGCCAACAGCCCCCCCCCCAGUUGAAAUGAGAAAACACAUAAAUAAGUCUCAAAACCAGACUUCCAGAUCACCAAAACCAACCCCAAAGGGAAAUGAGAUGGAACACUCUGAUACUCAACCACCU
rnacentral:lncRNA from 1 species